rnacentral:lncRNA from 1 species
AGAAUGAACCCUACUGCCCCGCCCCAGCCACCCAAUCUGGGUCGCUCUGGGUCCACCCGCCCACCCUUCUUCUCCCAGAGACUCUGGAAACCCAAAGGAAGGGAAGCAGAGAAAAGAGAGUUUAAAAAAGAAAGAAAAGAAAGGAAAGGAAAAGAAAAGAAAAAUAAAGAAAAGAAGAGAAAAGAAAGGGAGUGGGGCGGAGGAGGGUAGGGACAAGAGACAGCAAGCCUGAACCGGGACAGGAGGGCUGCGAAGAAGGAAGGCGAGAGGAAGAAGAAAAUCGAGGGAAAUAAACGAACGGCGCAGUGGACACUUUACAAAACCCCAGCCUUCCUUCCCGCCCAGCCCCACCAAAAUAAAACUACCCCCCUUAAAAAAAUAAAUCAACCCAGGGCUGUGAGCACGUGCCCUGCCUGACAGGCGCAGAGCGGAGGACAGCCAGCCCCAGAGCUGACAGUGCGGCGCCGAGGGCAGCGGGAGGGAAGGGGAUGAGCACGUAGUAGUUAUAUUCCUUUUCUUUUUCUUUUUUUGCGUUUCCUCUUCGUGGGAGAAGCCUGAGGCAGCCGGGGAGAGGGUCCCCAGAUCCCCCUGCAGGGAGAGGGCCGCACCCUCCUCCCUCCUGGGAGGAGCAGCUGGCAGUGGGGUGCCUGGACUGGGUGCUCAGACGAGCCCUCGUCGCGGUUGCGGUACUUGUACAUGGCGUAGAGGAGAAUGAGGAUGCAGAGCGCCGCCGCCGCCACGAUGCCCACCACCAUGCCCGUGGUGCUGCUGGAUUCGCGGAUCACCUCCACUGCACCUGGCGGGCCGCGCUCCCCCGGACCCGUGGGGUUGGCUGUGGGCAGACGGGGGAAACCGGGGGCUGAGGUCACGCCGGGGCGCAGGGGAGGCGGCCGCCGCGGCUCGAAGGCCGUGGGGACCCCAGGCCCCA